GGAUCUCUUUCUGGAGAUUGCUCCUCUUGGAGUUUUUCCUGUAAGCCUACAACAUGAAGCUGGUCUCUCUGGUCUCAGCGCUAACUGCUGCACUCAUUGAAUACUGUGCUGCUACUUGUCACCAGAAAGCAAGCCCAUAUGCUGCCAGCCACAAACGCAGUGACAACUGGAGCUCCAAAAGCGUAACAGCUUCUGCCAUUUCCUCUCUUUACCCCAUCUGUGAGAAAAUCUUGUUGGGAAAGCCAAAAUCCGGCAACAUCCUGCUCUCCUUCUCCCUCUGACCACAACUGCCUACCCACUGGCUGGGACUGAGGCGUCAGAAGGCAACAACUGAACUGCUCAACAGAAAGUCAAGUCCCAUAAUUUGCACGUUGAGUAAUUUUGUGUUGCAUUGCGUCAAGAUCCAGCAGCGUCCCAAACUGAGAACUUCUAAGCACUUGCAGAACAGCCUAUUACAAACACGGCUAAGGACCCUGUUACGAGUGUUGAUGAUGAUUCUUGCACACGUUGUGAAUAUCCCAGCUCAACACCUAUGGGCAUUUUAAAAAGCCUUGGGCCAAAGCCUUUGUUUUGAAAGUAAAAGGGUUUCCUUAAAUCCAAACCACUAAGAAGAAGCUUUCUCUUUAUCCAGAAGUGAGCAGCUUAUUGCUACGUGACUUUCAGCUGACAAACAAAAGGUAUUAUUUCUGAAAACGUGUUACUAAGUGCCUACUAACAGCAGCUUAGUUAAGUGAUUUUUCCCAUACCCUACUGGCUUCCUCUUACUAGGAGACACUCAGAUAUUUUCAUAAAUCAACCCCAAAGCAAGCAGCAGAACAUGCUUCCCAGCCCACGCCAAUUAGGCAGGUCAAGAUAUUAAUCCUUCUUUGCACGAAUACAGAAACAUUAAGUCUCAUUACCUUUGAGAACAGAAAUGUGCUGGCGGCUUUCCCCAUCUGCAGAGUAGUUCCUGAAUUCAAUAUCUUCUCCAUCUUUCAGUUCAACCUUAUCAUAACCAUACCAGCCAAGGAGCUCAUUCAUAGUGUUUUCUGCGAAGUUCUGAAAGAGAAAAAUUACCUACUUAUUUAUGUAAUCAAUAACCAUCUGGAAUGAAGGGAGGACUGCAUAAAUCGAACGGUAUCUGUGCUACACUAGGAAGUGUCAGGUUUGUCCCACCUCCUCAAAGACUAAUGCGCGUUUCAUAAGUCAAGUGUAUAAAGUGUAAUGCGUUUAAAUCUCAGACUGGCACAUGUAAUUAUGACAAAGACUCACACAUCCGUAAUUUAAAGAAAGUGAAAGGGAGAGUUAUUUAUGACUUUUGCUCCGGCAUUCGACGUCAGAAAUAUUUUACCAUACAUUCGUCACAAAAAUCUGUCUGUAUUCCCAUAAAAUAUUUAAGACUGCAGCAAGAAAGUAACAGAAAACUACAAUUUUUUCAGGCAGCAGUUAAUCAAUCUUACUGCACUACAGCCCUUUCAGCUGGCGUAGGUCACCGACACUUACAGUUCCUUGAGGUGCACAUGAACCAAAUGAAAUAAAAUCACAGUGAAGACAUUUUCCCUCAGUUACAAACCUCCGCGCAGCCAAAGCACUUAAAAACUCUUUACCAUGGGAGCAUUUCACCGUAAAAAUCCCCCUGAAUUUUUUUAAGAAAGACUCUUCUCUGCUUUGACAUAUUUAUUUUUAAAACAAUUUCCAAGCAGCAGCGUGGCUAUAUUUCAUGUUUGUAUGGAAAUGCAAAAAUAUGGAACACGACUGUCAUAACUCUCACUCUCUACUACAAGCCACGUCCUGCAGGUCAUGUGUCAACAACAUUUCUGUAGGAAAGGCUCAUUACUGGGCCAGGAGAUUUAGUGGAGUAAGUCAAGAGCCCUGCAACCAGGCAACGAAGCUUUGUGAGACCGGACGGUGCCGCGGAGCCAUGGCUUAUGGGUUUAGGAAACUCCUGGAGGAGAACGGCUAAUGAAUCGUUGUCACUGCAGAGGUCAGCUUAGAGUAAGAUGACAAACGUAAAAUGAAAAGGAACAGCCACAAACAAAGCCUUUUGGUUCGGACUCUUCAUUUUUAUUUUUAUUUUAUUAUCACUUCUAUAAGACGUUCCAAUUUGAUUUCACCAUAAGAUCUUGACAUCUAAAAUAACGAUCCCGAUAAGCAAUCUUCCUGCGACUGGCUACCAGUAAAGAAAAAAAGCAGAACACGACACCCAUUCAAAACAAAUGGCAUACGGGUUGCAAGAUUUCCUCUAGCGACUGCAGUAGCUCAGUUUUUGAGUGGGAGCAAGGCUAAUGAUGGAACACAGCAAUUCUCGAGUAAUUUAAAUAAAUAAAUAAAAUUAAU